CAUCCCUACCAUCUCCAUAGGAGUGACAAGAAUUGCAUGCUGGGUUCUGGAGAGAAAUAUAAUUCAGCAUUCAUUAGGCUGCACUCUUACCCAUUUCCUUGUCAUUAAAGUCACACAGCACUAGAUACUGACCGUUGCGUUCCUAUCAUUCCUAUAGACAGGAUCUCUGACAUGAGAGUCACAGGCUGUUUAAGAAUUGAUUUGCAUACCCAUUGUUCCUAUAGACAGGAUCUCUGGCAUUAGAAUCAUAAGGCUUUUGUUUAAGGAUCGCUUUAGAUGUUUUUCAGGUCCUGAAUUCCAGUGGAAUAGCUGAAGCCCACCAGUUCAAAGAUUCCCAGGGAGGAACCAAAUCGACACAUGAAUACAGCUUCUUUCAUCCCCCUGUCCAAUGACUUCGCCCUGUACUCUUUCACCAAUCAAUGAGCUCCACAUUUUAGCCUACUCCAAAACCCUUAAAAACGCUUACCCCAAAUCCCUCAGAAAUGGACUUGAGGUUUCCUCCUAUCCUGUUGUUUGGUAGCCUACGAUUAAACCUCUUUCUCUGCUGCAAACUGGUGUCUUGGGGUGUUGACUUGCAGAACACAUCUGGCAAUGGAUCUGUUACAAUUACACAUUCACCAUGGGAACGUGCCUGCUGGAGAAGGAAAAACGUGUGGAGCAGAGCCAACUCACUCCAGUCUCCUCAACCGGUGGCCAACCAACUCCCAGGUAUGUGAGCAAGACCAUCCAAGAUCAGCAAAGCCACCAGUGGGCCCCCAAUGACCCCAGCUGCAUGAGGAACACAUUUAUUUUUAUAUACCACUGAGGCUUUGUUGCUCACUCUUUCUGUGGCAGUAGAUAAUUGAUACAGUUCAUGACCACACUUAUGGCCAAUCAGAGUUAGAACUGAAACUUUUGCUAGAACAAUUAGCACAGAGACAUUUAUUUUUCUACUGAUACUUUUGUGCUGAAAAGCUCUAAGCCUAGAGCAGCUGGAAGAUGCCAUGUCACGUUGGAGAAAGGGUGUCUGAGACUGACGCCAACACAGAAGAAUAGAAAUUUACAAAUAAGAAGGAAGAAUUCUAACAACGUUUUUUUGAGUUCCAGGGUCAAGCCAUUCCUGUAACAACUAAACUAGAUUUUCACUUAAAUGAACUGAAUGCUACCUUGUGUUUCUUGCUACAGUCAACUUACGUUGGAUUUUUAACCCCAGGUUAUCAUAGAGUCCUGAUCAGUAGAUGUAUUUUCAAUGUAGAGUAUUGUGAAAAGUAAUGCGUUAUAAAUGUGCCUCCAUUGGAAAGUCAAGAGUCUAGAAAAACACGGCUGUUUUUCCGAAUUCCAGGUAGUAACAAAAACAAGUGUUUCUAUCCUUUCUUGUGCAUUUUACUUUCUAGAGUGCCAGGGGCUUGCCUAAGUAAGUUUGCACCUUGCUGAGCUGUUAAGAGGCUGUGGUGACAGUUGCCCCCACAAGAUUUCACCAGUACCUGGAAAUAAGUGUGACUCACUCCUGACUCAGUUUUGGUGACCACGAGGGCACAGCAAUUCUGAGAAAGACUGGGCCAGGUUGUUCUUCUACGCUUCUACGUCAGUGAUUUAACUCACGCCAUAGAUGGUAGAAACCAACCAUUUCAGACCUGAAGGAGAUGGCAAAGGUGAGAUCAUCAAAGACUCAUGGUUUCCUGUGGAGAUAACCAGAGGCAGAGGGGCGGAGGCAGUGCUGGUGGAGUCUGGCAUCCCAUGCAGGACUAAGAAGAUGGGCUUUGCGGGCAGAGAGAUGGAGGUUUGAACCUAAGCUUUGUUAUCUAUAAAUGUAGCCACUGUGGGCAAGUCAUUUAACCUUUCUGGGCCUCCAUUUCCACUUUUGUAAAGUAGGGGUAGAGUACCACACAAGAAUGAAAGAUCAUUAUAUAUAUAUAUGUAUAUAUAUAUAUUUUUUUAAUUUUAAUUUUUAUUUUGUUUUGAGGCAGGGUCUUGCAGUGUCGCCCAGACUAGAGUGCAGUGGCACAAUCAUGGCUCACUGCAGCGUCCAACUCCUGGGCUCAAGCAAUCCUCCUGCCUCAGCCUCCUGAGUAGCUGGGAUGACAGUCACAUGUCACUAUGCCCAGAUAAUUUUAAAAUUUUUUAGUAGAGAUGGGGUCUCACUAUGUUGCCCAGACAGGUCUCAAACUCCUGGCCUUGAGCAAUCCUUCCAAAGCCUCCCCAAAUGCUGGGAAUGCAGGCAUGAGCCCCAGCAUCCGGCCAGUUGCUGCUUACAUUUAAUAUGUGUAGGCACUCCCACUCCGGGAGAAGCUACUUAAUCUUCCUCAUCACCUCCCACGUCCCACAAAAAGUGGGCUUGACUUAGUGGUUUGCUUCCAAAGAAUAAAGUAUGAGAAGGGAAAAUACACUAAUUAGAAAGUGGAGGCUAGGCAUGGUGGCUCACACCUAUAAUCCCAGCACUUUGGGAGGCCGAGAUGGGUCAGGAGUUGGAGACCAGCCUGAUCAACAUGGUGAAACCCAGUCUCUACUAAAAAUACAAAAAUUAGCCAGGCGUGGUUGCACGUGCCUGUAAUCCCAGCUACUCAGGAGGCUGAGGCAGGAGAAUCGCUUGAACCUGGGAGGUGGAGGUUGCAGUGAGCUGAGAUAGCACCAUUGCACUCCAGCCUGGGUGACAGAGUGACACCCCAUCUCAAAAUAAGAAAAAAAGAAAAAGCAAGUGGCGAAACCUGGCAAAUGCUACCCAAGUGAUGAAUGCCAACCUCACUGAGGAAGCCUGGUGGCUCUCAUGCAGCCUUGGAUAAGAUGUGAAGAGGAAGAUGCUUCAGUUUUGUGGUGUUCUUCCCCCAAACCCAAACUCCAGUCUACUCAUGAGAAGUCCACCAGAGAAACCCAGAGUGGAGGACAUUCUACAAAAUACCUGGCCAGUAUCCCCCCUAGGACUGCCAAGGUCAUGAAAACCAAGGAAAGACUGAGAAAUGGACACAUCAGAGGAGACUGGGGAGAUGCUACAACUAAACGCAAUGUGAUACCUUGGAUCAGAUGCUGGAACAGAAAGAGGACGUACAUGGAAAGACAGAUGAAAUUGUAAUUAAGUACAGAAUUUAGUUAAUAAUAAUGUACGAAUGUUGGUUUUUCAGUUGUAACAAAUUUACUCAGGUUAUGUGAGAUGUCAACAAGAGGAGAAAACGGCUGGGCAAAACUACUGGCUCAUGCCUGUCAUCUGAUAAAGGAAAAACUUCAGCCAAGUGCUGUGGCCCACGCCUGUAAUCCCAGCACUUUGGGAGGCCAAGGUGGGCGGAUCACCUGAGGUCAGUAGUUUGAGACCUGACCUUUGCACUCCAGCCUGGCCAACAUGGUGAAAUCCCGUCUCUACUGAAAGUACAAAAAAUUAGCCAGGCAUGGUUGUGGACACCUGUAAUCCCAGCUACUCGGGAGCUGAGGCAGGAGAAUUGCUUGAACUGGGAGACGGAGGUUGCAGUGAGCUGAGAUCAUGUCAUUGCACUCUAGCCCAGGCGACAGUGCGAGACUCCGUCUGAAAAAAGAAAAGAAAAGAAAAACUUCAGUCAAAUUGAAUGUAAAGGAGUUUAGUUGAGCAAUGAACGAUUCGGGGAUCGGACAUCCCCCAGAAUCACAGCUGAUUCAAAGAGAUUCCAGCACAGCCAUGUAGUGGAAGAUUUACAGACAAAAAAAGAGGGCUGGGCGCAGUGGCUCACGCCUCUAAUCCCAGCACUUUGGGAGGCUGAGGCGGGUGGAUCACGAGGUCAGGAGAUCGAGACCAUCCUGGCUAACACAGUGAAACCUCACAUCUACUAAAAAUACAAAAAAUCAGCCGGGCGUUGUGGCAGGCGCCUGUAGUCCCAGCUACUCAGGAGGCUGGGGCAGGAGAAUGGCGUGAACCCGGGAGGCAGAGCUUGCAGUGAGCAGAGAUCACGCCACUACAGCCUGGGAAACAGAGCAAGACUCUGUCUCAAAAAAAGAAAGUGGGGGGAAAUGAUGUACACAAAUCAGAAGUGAGGUACAGAACAGCUGGAUUGGUUACAGGUUGGCGUUUGCCUCAUUUGAACACAGCUUCAACACUCAUCGGUGUAUGAGUGGUUGAAGUGCAGCUCCUGGGAUUGGCCAAGACUCAGCUGUUGUUACAGUUGUGGGCAUCAGUUUCCACAAGGUCCCCAGACUUAGAGAUCCAGGAGAUGAACUCAAGAGCAGCCCGUCGCCUGCAGUGGCUGAAAUGAAGCCUUUCUGCGUCAUCGGUGUCUUGUCUGAUGCUUCCCCAGUGGAAUUUCCUGCUGUGUUCCUGGGAAACCCAAGCAACCAGAAGUUCAUCCAAUUAUUUAUUUGCUUCGAGUCAUCCGGAUGUAAAAGUAUGCAGCUAUCAUAUACUGGUGAAGAUUGAAUUUAUUGUCAGCAUUUGAAAAUAGGGAGACUGCACUUUCAAAUAUCAGACUUUCAUGUUGUUCAGAAAGAAAUGGGUGCUCUGACUAAAAGGGGGCUUCAUUCCCACCUGGAGCUGAGUCCUGACUUUCAGUUAGAUCAGUUGGCAGCCACUGACUAAGUCCAUUUUACUGGAGUGAAAAUUGCUGCUUAGAGAGGAGUAGUUACUGGUCAGAAGUCACACAGCAAGCCUAAAGAAACGUCAUUCUGGCGGGCACUCAUUUAUAUGGACUGGAAGAUUAGGAUGAAAAAGCUGGGAGAACGAGAGACAGGACUGAUGAGUAAGAAUGAGAAGCCCAUAGCAGAAGUGGAAAUAACAAUUCAUCUUCCUUAGUUCAGAGGAAGCUCUCCCAAAUGCCCUUUACUUCUUGCUUUUCUUUCCUUGGAAAUUGCUCAGUAAAAUUGACCCAAUUCUACACGUUAAUUUGCAUUGUUGAUAAGAUAGCAUUAUUUUGCUUUUUAUGUCUUAGACUGUGGCUGGAUGAGUUUAUUCAUAAGUUUGCAUUAAUUUAGGAAAAAAUUUACUUAUCAAAAAACUGCACGUAUUUAACUCAAGAUUUUCUAAAUUUCUGGGGCUGGUUGUACACCUCAUAAGAUGUUUUGAUGUAUCUUUGGAAGGGUCUCUGGCUUAAUUUCUGUUUUCCUUUUCUUUAUUUAAAAAAGAAAAUGGAUUACAGAGUUAGUCAUAUGAAGCUACACACAUAAAAUUGCAUAGAACCUGCCGGGCACAGUGGCUCACACCUGUAAACCCAGCACUUUGGGAGGCUGAGGUGGGUGGAUCACCUGAGGUCAGGAGUUUGAGAACAGACUGAGCAGUAUGGUGAAGUUCCGUCUCUACUAAAAAUACAAAAAUUAGCUGGGCUUGGUGGCAGGCGCCUGUAAUCCCAGCUACUCAGGAGGCUGAGGCAAGAGAAUCACUUGAACUGGGGGGGCAGAGGUUGCAGUGAGCCGAGAUCACACCAUUGUACUCCAGCCUGGUCGACAGAGUAAGACUCCGUCUACGCAUAGAGCCACACGCACACAUAUUCACAUGUGUGUGUGAGUGCAUGUGUUAAUGGUAAAAUAUGCCUGACUCUAUGGAUUAUGCCAAUGCUGAUUUCCUGAUUUUGUUAUUGUCCUACAGUUAGGGAAGACGGCAAUGUGGGCAAGGCAAGGUCAAGUAUGCACAGGGCCUCCUUGUACAGUUCUUUGCAAUUUCCUGUGAUUCUGUAGUCAUUCUAAAUUUAAAAAUUGAGAAAAUAAACAAGAACAAUUUAUAGUCUGGACAUUAUGGCCAGUGCAGAAGGACAGAAUAAAGGAAUAAGUUAAAUUUUUAGACAGGAAGCAAUGCAAUAAUUAUUAUUUGCAGAUAAUAUGGCUGUCUACUUAGAAAAUUGGGUAAAACAGGCUUUGAACUAAUAUUAAGAGUUCAGUAAGGUACAUUAUGAAAAAUUAAUAGAUACCAUUUACAAUAAUAUCAGCAAAAACAAAUUAAAAUGUCUAGGAAUACACUUAACCAGCAUUAUAGGAGACCUACAAUAAGAAAUGUACUACAUUUAUUAAGGGAUAUAAAAGAUGACACGAAUAAAGCAAAUGAACCUGGAGAUGGUGAUCUGUAUUUAACAUUCAAAGUUUAAAAGACAGCUAAUUAUUUUUUUGGUUGUAGUAUAAAAGACAGUAGUGGGCAAUUGGAAAGGUUUGAAUAAGGGCUGUAGAUUAGAUAAGAGUAUUGUGUCAAUGUAAUUUCUUGAUUUUGAUCAUUGUACUGUGGUUGUAUAAGAGCAUGUCCUGAUUCUCAGGAAGUACACACAGGGAAGUACACACAGAUGUGUUUAGAAGUAAUGGAGCAUCGUAUUUGCAACUCAAUUCAAACACUUCAGAAUAAUAGUUUUUAUAUAUAUAUAUAAACUAUUAUUUCUUACUACAUAUAUAACUUUAAAUUAUAUUUAUAUAUAACUUUACAUAUACAUAACUUUAAAUUAUUAGUAUAUAUAUAACUAUUGUUUAUUAGUAUAUAUAUAUCCUCAUCUGUAUCUGUAUGCAUGUUUAAAUUUAUAUUGUUAGAAAGAAUGAGAAUGUUGUUUGGGGAAUCUGGGUGAAGAAUAUACAGACAUUCCUUUAGUGGGUCUAUAACUUUUCUGGAAAUUUGGGAUUAUUUCACAGCAAAAAGUUAAAAAAUGUGGCCAACAGAAGAAUAAGAAGGAAUAUAUAACUAUGAAAUAUAGGAAGCACCAGAGGGGAAGAAGAUGAUGUAUCAUAAAUGAUAUAAGCAGUACCAUUUAGUAUCGAGGAGAGGAUAACUAUUUUCUAAUAAAUAGAAGUGCUGUAUAUCAUCCCAUCGUAUGGAAGUAAUCAUCAGAAGAAAUAAAAUCUUGAUGAUUUAAGAAGGAUCCAUGGGUCGUUGAACUUGGGAUGCAGAA